AUAAAAUGUCUCGCAUUAAAACAAUCAUCCAUAAUGGAACAUUUAACCAAAAGUAAAAGCAAAACAUCAUAGAAACCUAAAUUCAAUCAGUAAAACUGUAUAAUAGUUUAAGUGCAAAACAUUGGCAAAGGUACUACAUCUCCAUGAGCUGAGGGUGUUCGGUGCUUCAUCAUUAGGACCCAAGGAGAACAUCAUUGUACUGUGACACUAGGAUAAGACUUGAACGCAAGACACCAAGAUUAUUUAUAAGAAUUGUAACAUAUGUGAACUAUUAAACAACGUUAAUAAGCUCUA